rnacentral:rRNA from 1 species
AUUGAACGCUGGCGGCGUGCUUAACACAUGCAAGUCGUGCGGUAACAGGCGUAGCAAUACGUGCUGACGAGCGGCGAACGGGUGCGUAAUACAUGGGAAUCUGCCCUUUAGUGGGGAAUAACCCGGCGAAAGCCGGGCUAAUGCCGCAUAAGAUCUUCGGAUGAAAGCGGGGGAUCGUAAGACCUCGCGCUGUUGGAUGAGCCCAUGUCGGAUUAGCUAGNGGUGAGGUAACGGCUCACCAAGGCGACGAUCCGUAGCUGGUCUGAGAGGACGGCCAGCCACACUGGGACUGAGACACGGCCCAGACUCCUACGGGAGGCAGCAGUGGGGAAUAUUGGACAAUGGCGCAAGCCUGAUCCAGCGAUGCCGCGUGUGUGAAG